rnacentral:lncRNA from 10 species
ACUACUAUAUAUAUUUAUUGGUAAUUGGGCGACAGAGUGAGACUUCAUCACACAAAAAAAUCUAAAUCUUUAGUAGUGUAAUUUAAAAACAAGAAUUUUAUUUCCACACCAGCUUGAAGUCUGUGGUUUUAAAACAAUUUCUUUUUAAGGUGUGCUUUACCUCAAAACUGGGAGAGUCUGUCUUUUAUCUCAAACAAAACUACAUGGAGAAAAGGUACUAAAGAAAGACAAAUGCAUUAGAUAAAUAUUUUACCGUAUAGUUGUCAGUAAACCAACUUAGAAUUAUCCUGCAGGGAUUACAUAAAUAAAUAAAUACAUAAAUAAACAAACAAAAUAAACACCUUUAUGAACACUCCGACUGAGUGGAAUAUGUCUAUAUUCUUAUAACUGCUUCAGUUCUAAAAGCCGGAGACACAGGAAUCAUUAAGAGGGGUUGAGUCAAGAUGGCGGCCUGGAAGUAGCUCCUGCGCGCUGCUCUCACAGGGAGGAGACAAAGGGCUGGUGAACACUGACCCUACAAGCUGAUAUCUAAGAAACCGUGUCGGACUCGAUCAAGGCAGCAAGCCGACACAGAGAACAGAGAGGAGUGCAGCUGGGCAGCAGCCUGUCUGGGAUAAACGCGGAGCCAGGAGAAGCUCCCCAACACAGGAAAGGCUUCCAUCAACCAGGAGUCUGUAUAUGCUUUACCUGGUUCCUCUGCUCAGGGUGUCCAAAGGCUGUGGUCAAGAAUCCCAUCUAGGAUAUCAUAUCACAUUGAGAUGUCAAGUUUCCUUUGGCUGUUCUUGGCUGUGGCAGUUUCUCAGACUUCUGUAGUUUUUGAGUCUCAGUUUGUUGCCCAGACUGGAGUACAGUGGCGUGAACACAGCUCACUGCAGCCUUGAACUUCUGGGCUCAAGUGAUCCUCCCACGUCAGCCUCCCCAAGUAGCUGGGACUACAGGUAUGGAUCAUCACGCUCAUCUAAUUUUUGUAUUUUUUGUAGAGACUAGAUUUUGCUAUGUUGCCUAGGUUGGUCUCAAACUCUUGGGCUCAAGUGAUCAGCCCACCUACGCCUCCCAAAGUGCUGGAAUUACAGCCUGAGCCACCGUGUCGGCCAUUAAUUGUUUUACCACUGUGAUAAUCAGCCUUAUGUGUAAAGCUGAUUAAGCUAUAGUUCCUAAUUAUUCAAUCUAACAUCUAAGUUUUGUUCAAAGACGUUUCUGUAGAUAUUAUUAAGUGAGGAAGAUGAUUCUAGAUAAUCACGGUGGGCCUGAAUCAGUCAGUUGAAAAGCCUUAAGAGAAGGCGGGAGUUUUCCCUGAGGAGGAAGCCAUUCUGCCCAUGGACUGCAACCUCAGCUCAUGUCUAGAAUACGUGAAGUGUUUCAGCUUGCCCUCCCUGACAGCCUUCCCUAUGCCAAUGCCUUGCGAUAAAUCUCUGUCCUCUCUCUCUCUCCUUCGCUCCCACCUUCUCUCUCCCACUUACUUACCCUACUGGUUCUGUUCUCUGGUGGAACACUGACUGAUGCUACCACCGUUUCCUGAAAAAGAUUAUUUCUUUUCUCCGUAAAUUGCCUUUACAUUUUUGUCGAAGAUCAAUUGUAUGAAUAUGUGUAAGUCCAUUACUAGGCUUUCCUAUUUUUUGAGACUGAGUCUUACUCUGUCACCCAGGCUAGAGUGCAGUGGCGCGACCUCGGCUCCCUGCAAGCUCCGCCUCCCAGGUUCACGCCAUUCUCCUGCCUCAGCCUCCCGAGUAGCUGGGACUACAGGCGCCCACCACCACGCCCGGCUAAUUUUUUGUAUUUUUAGUAGAGACGGGGUUUCACCGUGUUAGCCAGGAUAGUCUCGAUCUCCUGACCUGGUGAUCUGCCCGGCUCGGCCUCCCAAAGUGCUGGGAUUACAGGUGUCGCCACUGAGCCCGGCCGUCCAUUACUAGACUCUUAUCUGUUCUAUUAAUUUGUUGGACUAUCCACCACUACCUACCAUGCUGUCUUGACUACUGCAUUUUUAUCAUAUAUAUUGGAAUCAGAUAGCAUAAAUUUUCAUGGGAGAGAAGCUGAGAUAAUUGGUUUGAAUCUUUUUGUUCUUUUCUAAUAUUGAUUUUCAUUGUUAAAAAUACACCUGAAAAUACUGACUUAACUGAAUCUCACAAAUAUAUACAUUUCAGAAAUAUAUAUUACAUAUUUAAAAAUUAGAUAAGUUUGGUUGAUAAUAAUGCUCAUUUCUACCACAUUGCUACUAGUUUUCUAUAUGUAUAAUGUUUAUUAUUCUCCCUUUUCUCGUUUCCUAGGAAAUAAAAACAUAAAUUUAGAACUCUUUAUCCAACACAAGUUUUUAAAAAAAUGAAUGUGUUGUAAAACCGAUGUAAUGACUUAAGAUUUAAGUCUUUAUAAAGACUAUCAAACAUAUAUAGAUUGGAAAGAGUCAUCACUUGCAGAGCAACACUAUAAGAAAUGGUAAUAAAAAAGCUUUAGGCAGGAAAAUAAUACCAGAUAAAAUGCUUUAAAAAUGGCAAACACAUAAGCAUAUAAAAUAUCUUUUUAUUUUUGUUUAUUCAAAAGAUAACUGGAUGCUAAAAAAUAAUGACAAUGUAUUCUUGACACACCAAAAUAAAAAUUGUGUCAUAAGAAAAGAAAUCAGCUUUGACCAUCUACCAUACCCAGAGAACAAAAUAAAACAUGACUGUGUGAGUUAAAUAAGACCUUUUCUGCUUCACACCUAUCCCCACUUCCAAAACUCCCUGGAGCGUGUUGUUGUUUUUGUUUGUUUAUUUGUUUUAAGAAUGUCCAAAAUACACAAAAUCUAUCAGAAAUUUAAUCAAGUGACAAGGAAGAAAUAAAAUGAGUACAAGUCCUUAGUGGGAAAUUUUAAAAGUUGUUUGUGAAUGUAUCCUAUCAAGAAGAAUCAAUUCAACACAAUGAUUUUGUGGAUUUUGGAAUGUUUAAUAAAACUAUAUACCAAAGCAUUAAAAAUGAUGUAUUAAUGGAGCAAAAUGAAGGUUAUUUUUUCUAUUUUACUUUAUAUAUUUGUGUACUCUUUGGGGUAUUUUUAAAAACAUUUAUUACCAUUAGAAUCAAAAUUAAAGAUAUUUCAAUUAUUU